GGCAAGAUGGCCGAGCGGUCUAAGGCGCCGCACUCAAGUUCUUCUCUCAACUUGCCACAUUCCAAUGUGGUCUGCAUUGCGGUCUCGAAAGAGGCGUGGGUUCAAAUCCCACUCUUGUCA